rnacentral:ncRNA from 5 species
CCCAGUGUUCAGACUACCUGUUCA